ACCGUUAUUUAUAAAUCUGGUAUGGUUCAAUGAAUUAAUAUUCGUGAGCAAGACAAAAUCUUUCGGAAUAACAUUGACCAGCAGUAUCAUCACCGUUUGACGUACCUCCUCCCCUUGUGUUUCAUACGCACAUGCUUUAGUUAGAGAAUUCCCGAGGAAUGCGUCAUUUACUUAGUAGCGUCUGUUCUCCAUAUUAGUAGCGGCUCUAAAUCCCCCCGCCCCUCUUCCCCCUGCCAUUCCUCAAGGACUGUUCUUGUUAUUCUCGUCUUGACUUGCUGCAGGGACUAUAAACAGUUAGUUAGCGAUGGCCCCACGACGAUACUGGAGGUGGAAGAGAGGCCUUACAAGCUACCUUAGCGAAACCACAAGCAACAAACCCUCAAUAAGCAAUAGACACUCGCAGGAAAAAGGACUUAAGGAAGAACGAUGAAAUGUUAUUGGAACUAUAGAAAUUGCAAGAACUACUAGUGGAGGGUGAUUUAGCUUUCAUGUGCGAUGGUGAUGGCGAUGAUGCUAUGUGCGUAGUUUAGGGGAGGGGCCAUGCAAGCAACCCUCGUUACAAUUUCACCGCAAUGAACAGUCAACGAGAAGAAGAAUAUCUGACCUAUUGAUUCAGACCCUCACCAGGAAAAAGGACUAUCGAUUGGAAGCUCGGGA